GCCAGAGUGGCGGAAUGGCAGACGCGCUGGAUUCAAAAUCCAGUGCCCGAUAAGGGCGUGUGGGUUCAAGUCCCACCUCUGGUA
rnacentral:tRNA from 1 species